GAACGCACCUUGCACCCUUUGGUAUUCCGAAGGGUAUGCCUGUUUGAGUGUCAUUAUAUUCUCAACCAUUGAACUUGUUUCUUUGGCUUGGAUGUGGGGGUUGCGGGCUUCGCAAGAGGUCGGCUCUCCUUAAAUGCAUUAGUGGAAACCGCUUGCAGGAUUCAUUCACUUUUUGGCGUGAUAGUAUCGUCGUCAAAGGCUUAUGUCUCCGAGGUGUCUGCUCUCUAACCGUCCGUAAAGGACUCUUAAUGACUUGUUUGACCUCAAAUCAGGUAGGACUACCCGCUGAACUUA
rnacentral:misc_RNA from 1 species